GAGCAAUCAAAAUUCAUUAUUUACCCAAUAGUUCAUCGUUUGUUACAAAAAUGAGCUAAUAUAGAGAAAGCUAACUGUACAAUAUACAUGGCUAACCAAUCUAACAAACUCCCUUAACAGCUCAACAAAAUUAACAACCUUCUUGCCAACUCCCUCUAAUCUCUCCUUUUGACCAAAUGCAUUGUUUGAAUUCUCAUAUCAAUACCCCCUGGUUAAGUUUCCGUGUCCUCAAGGGAAAAUAGUGGAGAUCUUUCUUUCAACUCAUCAGCACACUCCUAAGAAGCGUCUACUGGUGAAAACUCACGCCAAUGAAUUAACAAUUGCUUCGCAAUGGCAUUGUGACGUUUAACCAUACGGCAAUCCAAAAUUGCUUGUGGAUAACGUCUUGAAUAUGGGACAUUGGAGGUAAUUUAGUAGAAGCUUGAAGUGGUGUUGCUGCUCUCUUUAACUGAGAGACAUGAAAAAACAUCAUGAAUUUGCGCAUUUGAAGGCAACUGGAGUUUGUAUGCAACUGACCCAAUAUUGUCCACAAUUUGAUAAGGACCAAAGUACUUCUCCUGAAACUUGUGAUGUUUUUUUCGUACAGAUUGUUGCCUGUAUGGUUGCAACUUUAGGUAAACCCAAUCAUCUAUUGAAAAUCGAUGGUCAGUACGAUGCUUAUCUACUUGAACUUUCAUACGAUGCUGAGCUGUGCUCAAUUGAUACUUCAAAGCCUCAAUUGCUGCUUCCCUAUCACGAAGAAAAAUGUCCACAGCUGCUACAUUACAAUCAUUAGUGAAAUAGGGAACAUGGAGUAGAGGUGGUAUGCUGAAGCCGAACAAAGCCUCAAAGGGAGACAUAUUAAUGGUGGAAUGGUAUGUAAUGUUGUACCAAAAUUGAGCAAGAGGCAAGCACUUUAACCAUGAAUGAGGAUAAUUUCCAAUCAUGCACCAAAGGUAGCAUUGUAAGCAGCAAUUCACAACCUCAGUUUACCAUCCGUCUGAGGGUGAUACGCUGUUGAAUACUGUAAUUGUACACCUUGAAGCGUAAAGAGUUCUUUCCAAAAUGCACUAAAAAAUAUAGAAUCCCUAUCCCUUGUUAUAGUCUGAGGAAGGCCAUGAAUCUUGCAAACUGAAUCCAUAAAGGCUACUACAACCUGCCUAGCUGACAAAGGGUGAGAUAACCCAAUAAAAUGAGCGAACUUAAUGAGGCAAUCCACCACCACAAAUAUGAUUGUCUUCCCCUGCGAUGCUGGCAAACUCUCAAUGAAAUCCAUGGAGAUAUCUGAAAAGAGAGUCCUAGGUACCGGUAAAGGCUGUAAUAACCCUGCAGGUGCAAGCAAUUCUGGUUUGUAUUUAUGGCAAGUGGAACAUCUUUAUGAAGUCCUGGCCAAUAUACCACAGCUUGAACACGCUUGGUAGUACUUGUAACACCGGAAUGAACUCCUAUAGAGGAAUCAUGGAAAGCUGCCAACAAGUGUUGUCGAAGGUUCAAAUCCCUGACCACAAGUUUACCUUUCCUCCUCAAUUGGUGAUUACUCCAAGUGAAUGCCACAUGAGAGGAUGGAUUAAGCCGGAUUUCUUGAAUCAACUGGACUAAUUGAAGAUCAGAACUCCAUGUUUCUGCAAUUCCUUCAUAUAAAGUAGAAGGUAACAAAUAAGUCUGAUAUGAUGGAAGAAAUUAAUAGAACAGAAGAAACAGAGAAGAGAAGAGAAGAAUGAGAGAAUUCACUGAGAAAACAGAACUGAGAGAGAAGAGCAAUCAAGAUUCAUUUUUCAC
rnacentral:misc_RNA from 1 species